UGGGGAAUUUUGGACAAUGGGGGAAACCCUGAUCCAGCCAUCCCGCGUGUUCGAUGAAGGCCUUCGGGUUGUAAAGCACUUUUGGCAGGAAAGAAACGUCAUGGGUUAAUACCCCGUGAAACUGACGGUACCUGCAGAAUAAGCACCGGCUAACUACGUGCCAGCAGCCGCGGUAAUACGUAGGGUGCAAGCGUUAAUCGGAAUUACUGGGCGUAAAGCGUGCGGAGGCGGUUAGGAAAGAAAGAUGUGAAAUCCCAGAGCACAACUUUGGAACUGCAUUUUUAACUACCGGGCUAGAGUGUGUCAGAGGGAGGUGGAAUUCCGCGUGUAGCAGUGAAAUGCGUAGAUAUGCGGAGGAACACCGAUGGCGAAGGCAGCCUCCUGGGAUAACACUGACGCUCAUGCACGAAAGCGUGGGGAGCAAACAGG
rnacentral:rRNA from 1 species